rnacentral:rRNA from 1 species
AACGAACGCUGGCGGCAUGCCUAACACAUGCAAGUCGAACGAGACCUUCGGGUCUAGUGGCGCACGGGUGCGUAACGCGUGGGAACCUGCCCUUAGGUUCGGAAUAACUCCCCGAAAGGGGUGCUAAUACCGGAUAAUGUCUUCGGACCAAAGAUUUAUCGCCUUUGGAUGGGCCCGCGUUGGAUUAGCUAGUUGGUAGGGUAAAAGCCUACCAAGGCGACGAUCCAUAGCUGGUCUGAGAGGAUGAUCAGCGACACUGGGACUGAGACACGGCCCAGACUCCUACGGGAAGCAGCAGUGGGGAAUAGUGGACAACGGGCGAAAGCAUGAUCCAGUAAGGCCGCGUGAGUGAUGAAGGCCUUAGGGUUGUAAAGCUCUUUUACCCGGGAUGAUAAUGACAGUACCGGGAGAAUAAGCUCCGGCUAACUCCGUG